rnacentral:rRNA from 1 species
GAUGAACGCUGGCGGCGUGCCUAAUACAUGCAAGUCGAGCGAACAGAUGAGGAGCUUGCUCCUCUGACGUUAGCGGCGGACGGGUGAGUAACACGUGGAUAACCUACCUAUAAGACUGGGAUAACUUCGGGAAACCGGAGCUAAUACCGGAUAAUAUAUUGAACCGCAUGGUUCAAUAGUGAAAGACGGUUUUGCUGUCACUUAUAGAUGGAUCCGCGCCGCAUUAGCUAGUUGGUAAGGUAACGGCUUACCAAGGCAACGAUGCGUAGCCGACCUGAGAGGGGGAUCGGCCACACUGGAACUGAGACACGGUCCAGACUCCUAAGGGAGGCAGCAGUAGGGAAUCUUCCGCAAUGGGCGAAAGCCUGACGGAGCAACGCCGCGUGAGUGAUGAAGGUCUUCGGAUCGUAAAACUCUGUUAUUAGGGAAGAACAAAUGUGUAAGUAACUAUGCACGUCUUGACGGUACCUAAUCAGAAAGCCACGGCUAACUACGUG